rnacentral:rRNA from 1 species
UACGAAGGGGGCUAGCGUUGCUCGGAAUCACUGGGCGUAAAGCGCACGUAGGCGGAUCCUUAAGUCGGGGGUGAAAUCCUGGAGCUCAACUCCAGAACUGCCUUCGAUACUGAGGAUCUUGAGUUCGGGAGAGGUGAGUGGAACUGCGAGUGUAGAGGUGAAAUUCGUAGAUAUUCGCAAGAACACCAGUGGCGAAGGCGGCUCACUGGCCCGAUACUGACGCUGAGGCACGAAAGCGUGGGGAGCAAACAGG